rnacentral:rRNA from 1 species
AUUAAACGCUGGCGGCAUGCCUUACACAUGCAAGUCGAACGGCAGCACGGGGGCAACCCUGGUGGCGAGUGGCGGACGGGUGAGUAAAGCAUCGGAACGUAUCCUGGAGUGGGGGGAUAACGUAGCGAAAGUUACGCUAAUACCGCAUAUUCUGUGAGCAGGAAAGCAGGGGAUCGCAAGACCUUGCGCUCUGGGAGCGGCCGAUGUCGGAUUAGCUAGUUGGUGGGGUAAAGGCCUACCAAGGCGACGAUCCGUAGCGGGUCUGAGAGGAUGAUCCGCCACACUGGGACUGAGACACGGCCCAGACUCCUACGGGAGGCAGCAGUGGGGAAUUUUGGACAAUGGGCGCAAGCCUGAUCCAGCCAUGCCGCGUGAGUGAAGAAGGCCUCGG